GAUGAACGCUGGCGGCGUGCCUAAUACAUGCAAGUCGAGCGAACGGACGAGAAGCUUGCUUCUCUGAUGUUAGCGGCGGACGGGUGAGUAACACGUGGAUAACCUACCUAUAAGACUGGGAUAACUUCGGGAAACCGGAGCUAAUACCGGCUAAUAUUUUGAACCGCAUGGUUCAAAAGUGAAUGACGGUCUUGCUGUCACUUAUAGAUGGAUCCGCGCUGCAUUAGCUAGUUGGUAAGGUAACGGCUUACCAAGGCAACGAUGCAUAGCCGACCUGAGAGGGUGAUCGGCCACACUGGAACUGAGACACGGUCCAGACUCCUACGGGAGGCAGCAGUAGGGAAUCUUCCGCAAUGGGCGAAAGCCUGACGGAGCAACGCCGCGUGAGUGAUGAAGGUCUUCGGAUCGUAAAACUCUGUUAUUAGGGAAGAACAUAUGUGUAAGUAACUGUGCACAUCUUGACGGUACCUAAUCAGAAAGCCACGGCUAACUACGUG
rnacentral:rRNA from 1 species